CGUAGUGGCCAUUUGUGGGGUGAACCAACGGAAAAAGGAAGACCUUUCUCUCUGUCUCUCUCUCACUGUCUAACUCUGCCUAUCAAAAAAAAUUUAUUCAUUACCUAACUGAAGAUAGGUAGACACAAUGACUGCAUCCAUAUAAAAACGUAUCUGCCUGUGGAAAAGAAAUGAGAAGGGACACUAAAAUAGUUGUUUGGGGGUUAGCAAUAUUGGUUUUUGAAUAGGUAAUAUAUAUCCAAAGUAUAGAAUUAUAAGAUACAGGAUUCAAAAGAUACUAAGAAGUAAAUAAUCAAAAUAGUCCUCCUCCUUAUAUCUGCAUUCUGGUGUCCUACUCCACUGUACACCUUCCCAGAGACAACCACCAUUACCAGUUCCUUUGUACUGCUUUUUUUUUUCUUGUGCAUAUAUGUUACCUAACAAUCCAUCUCACCAUUCACAGGAAACUUCAUUAUUUUUCAUGGCAACAUCAAAAUUCUGUAUAGAAACAAUAACUGUGGGUCACCAGGGAAGCUUUUUCAGGUUUCAUAGUAGCCUGGACAAAGCUGUCCAUUGGACUAAGCCCCUCCCUCUAAUCUUAUGCACAGUUGGCAAUUUUAUGAUAAUAAUCUGUUUCCUAGGGGGCCUUGAUGCUACAAAAGAGAUGUCCCACAGAGGAGCACAGAGCAAAUUAUCCCCAAAUUGACAGAAGAAAUUGUGACUAUGGUAGAUAUCAUCUCUCUCAUGAGACUGAGUGGCCUCAGUUUGUCCCGGAAUGCCUGCUCACAAACCCUGAACAAACUAACAACAUGAAAAAUGUGAAUUUGGUGGCAGGAAAAUAGAGAUUAGACCUUGGAAAUUUAGGCAGAAGCCAAGUAGUGCAGAAGAUGGAGACACAAGAACAAGCCUACAUUUACAAUGGUCAUCUCAGCAUUUUUCCUGUCUAUGAAAGAGAAUUAAACUUUCCUCCUAAUAAGCCACUGUUACAUUGCAUUUCUGUCAUCGAUCCUAACUCAUAGACAAGAAAUAAAAUUUUAAAAGUUU